ACUCAUACAGUUUUUUAAUUCUGUAUUCAAAAAGUCUUUUAUACCCGUGUGUACAUAGUUUUCUUAUACCUGGGACCUUUUAUUUUUCACAGUUGCCUGAAUCCUAGAUGUGGACAUCUGCACUUCAACACUACCGCUCCACCAGUGCUACACAGUCAGCAGCGACUACAUCCUCCAGUAGUACACAACUGCAAGCUCAACAGGUGAGCGAACACACCAGUUCAGAUCACACGGAUGAAGCAACUGAGGAAGGAGAAUCGGUGGGUUAGGAAUCGGUAGAUGAGACUGCACAUUCACAAUCUGAUGUGGCAAAUCUCAUCCAUCACAACACCCUUCAGCAGUGGAGUACAGGCGGUCGAGGCUACAUGAGAUGAGGCGGAUGCGAUGCCAGAUGCAAUAGCAACAGGUCCUGUUCCAGUAGGCAGAGAGUCACCAUCAGCAUGACUGGUCAAGGUGGAUGAGACCGCAGCAGCAGCAGCAAAAUCAGGACACUGUGGCGAUAUUCUCUGAGUUCCUGCACAGCAUUGCUGAGGCUGUGACAUCCAACCCACCUACG